rnacentral:rRNA from 12 species
UGCACCGGAUCCCAUCAGAACUCCGCAGUUAAGCGUGCUUGGGCGAGAGUAGUACUAGGAUGGGUGACCUCCUGGGAAGUCCUCGUGUUGCACCCC